GGCUCAGUAGCUUAGUUGGUAAAGCACUCGUCUAACAUACAAGAGUCGUGGGUUCAAAUCUCACCUGAGCAC
rnacentral:tRNA from 1 species